AAUCUGGUACAUCGAUGGAAGCAGCUUUGUCUUGGAUGGAAAAAGAAGAGCCAUAUAUGCGGUCAACAGGCUAUACAACAUGCAGUGCCAGUUCAACAAGGAUAUAUAAAACUACAGCCGACCACGGAAAAUAUCAUUCAUGCUUAGGUGGAUACCGCUAUAAGGACUCUGAGGCUUGAGACUAGCAAGAGGGGGAGGCCCAAUGCCCCUUGCCAUCCCAGCUCAGCAGGAAAUAGCUGGAGGGACCUCAACACCCAUAUUUCCAAAGAAUUGGGCCUCCCAUAUCCUGAGGAGGGACUCUUAGAUAGAAUAGGAAAAAGGAGUCCAAAAUGGUGGUGGCUAAAAGACAAAGAAGGGAAAAGCCCAUGAAAAUAGAAUAAAGGAAGAUCUAAGGACUGGAGUGAGAACCUCAGAUAAAUAGCCUCCUGGCUAGCCCAAUUUACAUAGAGCAGGCUCAGGGGGAGGAGAAAAAAACAUAUAAAAGAGGAGCCAGAUUGAGCGUUGGGAGGGCUUCUCUUCUCUUCGCAUCUUUUGGGUCAGCCCACCCUCACACCUCGAGGAUGUAUUUCCCUUUGCUUUCUAAAUAAAGCUGAGCUGUAACUCAGA